rnacentral:tRNA from 1 species
GCCGGCCUAGCUCAAUUGGUAGAGCAACUGACUUGUAAUCAGUAGGUUGGGGGUUCAAGUCCUCUGGCCGGCACCAUU